UGAAUUGCGUACGGCUCAUUAGAGCAGAUAUCACCUUAUCCGGGAUCCUCAUAUGGAUAACUGCGGAAAUACUGGAGCUAAUACAUGCAACUAUACCCCAACGCAAGGCGGGGUGCAAUUAUUAGAACAGACCAAACGUUUUCGGACGUUGUUUGUUGACUCUGAAUAAAGCAGUUUACUGUCAGUUUCGACUGACUCUAUCCGGAAAGGGUGUCUGCCCUUUCAACUAGAUGGUAGUUUAUUGGACUACCAUGGUUGUUACGGGUAACGGAGAAUAAGGGUUCGACUCCGGAGAGGGAGCCUUAGAAACGGCUACCACGUCCAAGGAAGGCAGCAGGCGCGAAACUUAUCCACUGUUGAGUAUGAGAUAGUGACUAAAAAUAUAAAGACUCAUCCUUUUGGAUGAGUUAUUUCAAUGAGUUGAAUACAAAUGAUUCUUCGAGUAGCAAGGAGAGGGCAAGUCUGGUGCCAGCAGCCGCGGUAAUUCCAGCUCUCCUAGUGUAUCUCGUUAUUGCUGCGGUUAAAAAG
rnacentral:rRNA from 1 species